AUGAACGCUAGCUACAGGCUUAACACAUGCAAGUCGAGGGGCAGCAUGAACUUAGCUUGCUAAGUUUGAUGGCGACCGGCGCACGGGUGAGUAACACGUAUCCAACCUGCCGAUGACUCGGGGAUAGCCUUUCGAAAGAAAGAUUAAUACCCGAUGGCAUAGUUCUUUCGCAUGGUGGAACUAUUAAAGAAUUUCGGUCAUCGAUGGGGAUGCGUUCCAUUAGGUUGUUGGCGGGGUAACGGCCCACCAAGCCUUCGAUGGAUAGGGGUUCUGAGAGGAAGGUCCCCCACAUUGGAACUGAGACACGGUCCAAACUCCUACGGGAGGCAGCAGUGAGGAAUAUUGGUCAAUGGACGAGAGUCUGAACCAGCCAAGUAGCGUGAAGGAUGACUGCCCUAUGGGUUGUAAACUUCUUUUAUACGGGAAUAAAGUGAGGCACGUGUGCCUUUUUGUAUGUACCGUAUGAAUAAGGAUCGGCUAACUCCGUGCCAGCAGCCGCGGUAAUACGGAGGAUUCGAGCGUUAUCCGGAUUUAUUGGGUUUAAAGGGAGCGUAGGCGGACGCUUAAGUCAGUUGUGAAAGUUUGCGGCUCAACCGUAAAAUUGCAGUUGAUACUGGGUGUCUUGAGUACAGUAGAGGCAGGCGGAAUUCGUGGUGUAGCGGUGAAAUGCUUAGAUAUCACGAAGAACUCCGAUUGCGAAGGCAGCUUGCUGGACUGUAACUGACGCUGAUGCUCGAAAGUGUGGGUAUCAAACAGGAUUAGAUACCCUGGUAGUCCACACAGUAAACGAUGAAUACUCGCUGUUUGCGAUAUACAGUAAGCGGCCAAGCGAAAGCGUUAAGUAUUCCACCUGGGGAGUACGCCGGCAACGGUGAAACUCAAAGGAAUUGACGGGGGCCCGCACAAGCGGUGGAGCAUGUGGUUUAAUUCGAAGCAACGCGAAGAACCUUACCAAGUCUUGACAUCGUGAUGACCGGAACUUAACCGUUCCUUCCCUUCGGGGCAUCAUAGACAGGUGGUGCAUGGUUGUCGUCAGCUCGUGUCGUGAGAUGUUGGGUUAAGUCCCGCAACGAGCGCAACCCCUGUUUCUAGUUGCCAGCACGUCAAGGUGGGAACUCUAGAAAGACUGCCGUAGAUAAUACGGAGGAAGGUGGGGAUGACGUCAAAUCAUCAUGCCCCUUAUGAUUUGGGCUACACACGUGCUACAAUGGCGUAAACAAAGGGAAGCGGAGCCGCGAGGCCGAGCAAAUCUCAAAAAUAACGUCUCAGUUCGGACUGUAGUCUGCAACCCGACUACACGAAGCUGGAAUCGCUAGUAAUCGCAGAUCAGAAUGCUGCGGUGAAUACGUUCCCGGGUCUUGUACACACCGCCCGUCACACCAUGGGAGUUGGAAAUGCCCGAAGUCAGUGACCCAACCGCAAGGAGGGAGCUGCCGAAGGCAGGUUCGAUAACUGGGGUG
rnacentral:rRNA from 1 species